AGAGUUUGAUCAUGGCUCAGGAUGAACGCUGACAGAAUGCUUAACACAUGCAAGUCGACUGGAAUUCUUCUUCGGAAGAUAGUACGGUGGCGGACGGGUGAGUAACGCGUAAAGAAUUUGCCCUUCAGACUGGGACAACUAACCGAAAGGUUAGCUAAUACCGGAUAUUAUGACAACUCGGCAUCGAGAAGUUAUGAAAGCUAUAUGCGCUGGAGGAGAACCUUGCGUCCCAUUAGGUAGUUGGUAGGGUAAUGGCCUACCAAGCCGACGAUGGGUAGCCGGCCUGAGAGGGUGAACGGCCACAAGGGGACUGAGACACGGCCCUUACUCCUACGGGAGGCAGCAGUGGGGAAUAUUGGACAAUGGACCAAAAGUCUGAUCCAGCAAUUCUGUGUGCACGAUGAAGGUCUUCGGAUUGUAAAGUGCUUUCAGUGGGGAAGAAGAAAGUGACGGUACCCACAGAAGAAGCGACGGCUAAAUACGUGCCAGCAGCCGCGGUAAUACGUAUGUCGCAAGCGUUAUCCGGAAUUAUUGGGCGUAAAGCGAGUCUAGGCGGCUUGUUAAGUCAGAUGUGAAAAUGCGGGGCUCAGCUCCGUAUUGCGUUUGAAACUAGCAGGCUAGAGUACUGGAGAGGUGGGCGGAACUACAAGUGUAGAGGUGAAAUUCGUAGAUAUUUGUAGGAAUGCCGAUAGUGAAGACAGCUCACUGGACAGAUACUGACGCUAAAGCUCGAAAGCGUGGGGAGCAAACAGGAUUAGAUACCCUGGUAGUCCACGCCGUAAACGGUGAGUACUAGCUAUUGCGGGUAUGACCCCUGCAGUGGCGCAGCUAACGCAUUAAGUACUCCGCCUGGGAAGUACGGUCGCAAGACUAAAACUCAAAGGAAUUGACGGGGGCCCGCACAAGCGGUGGAUUAUGUGGUUUAAUUCGAAGCAACGCGCAGAACCUUACCUAGCCUUGAAAUCCUACGAAUCCGACGUAAUGGUUGGAGUGCUCGCAAGAGAAUGUAGUGACAGGUGCUGCAUGGCUGUCGUCAGCUCGUGUUGUGAAAUGUUGGGUUAAGUCUCGCAACGAGCGCAACCCUCGUCUUUAGUUGCCAGCAUUAAGUUGGGCACUCUAGAGAGACUGCCCGGGUUAACCGGGAGGAAGGUGGGGAUGACGUCAAGUCCUCAUGGCCCUUAUGGCUAGGGCUACACACGUAAUACAAUGGUACAUACAGAGGGAAGCGACCUGGUGACAGUGAGCAAAUCUCUAAAAGUAUAUCUCAGUCCGGAUUGGAGUCUGCAACUCGACUCCAUGAAGUUGGAAUCGCUAGUAAUCGUAGAUCAGCACGCUACGGUGAAUACGUUCCCGGGCCUUGUACACACCGCCCGUCACACCAUGGGAGUUGGUUUCUUUUUAAGUCGUGGCCUUAACCUUCGGGAGGGAGCGCCUACAGAGGGACCGAUGACUGGGGUGAAGUCGUAACAAGGUAACCGUA
rnacentral:rRNA from 1 species